rnacentral:rRNA from 1 species
CACUGGUGUUCGGGUUGUCAUGCCAAUGGCACUGCCCGGUAGCUAAAUGCGGAAGAGAUAAGUGCUGAAAGCAUCUAAGCACGAAACUUGCCCCGAGAUGAGUUCUCCCUGAGACUUAGAGUCUCCUGAAGGAACGUUGAAGACGACGACGUUGAUAGGCCGGGUGUGUAAGCGCAGCGAUGCGUUGAGCUAACCGGUACUAAUGAACCGUGAGGCUUAACCUU